GCUGGCGGCAUGCCUAAUACAUGCAAGUCGAACGGAGGUGCUUGCACCUCAGUGGCGAACGGGUGAGUAACACGUAUCUAACCUACCUCAUAGCGGGGGAUAACUUUUGGAAACGAAAGAUAAUACCGCAGGUAGAUCUUAUUAUCGCAUGAGAAAAGAUCAAAAGAACCGUUUGGUUCACUAUGAGAUGGGGAUGCGGCGUAUUAGCUAGUAGGUGAGAUAAUAGCCCACCUAGGCGAUGAUACGUAGCCGAACUGAGAGGUUGAUCGGCCACAUUGGGACUGAGAUACGGCCCAGACUCCUACGGGAGGCAGCAGUAGGGAAUUUUUCACAAUGGACGAAAGUCUGAUGAAGCAAUGCCGCGUGAGUGAUGACGGCCUUCGGGUUGUAAAGCUCUGUUGUAAGGGAAGAAAAAAUAAAGUAGGAAAUGACUUUAUCUUGACAGUACCUUACCAGAAAGCCACGGCUAACUAUGUGCCAGCAGCCGCGGUAAUACAUAGGUGGCAAGCGUUAUCCGGAUUUAUUGGGCGUAUAGGGUGCGUAGGCGGUUUUGCAAGUUUGAGGUUAAAGUCCGGAGCUCAACUCCGGUUCGCCUUGAAAACUGUAUUACUAGAAUGCAAGAGAGGUAAGCGGANUUCCAUGUGUAGCGGUGAAAUGCGUAGAUAUAUGGAAGAACACCUGUGGCGAAAGCGGCUUACUGGCUUGUUAUUGACGCUGAGGCACGAAAGCGUGGGGAGCAAAUAGGAUUAGAUACCCUGGUANNCCGCGGC
rnacentral:rRNA from 1 species